rnacentral:rRNA from 1 species
GACGGGGGAUGCAAGUGUUAUCCGGAAUCACUGGGCAUAAAGGGCGCGUAGGCGGCCACCGCAAGUCAAUUGUGAAAUCUCCGGGCUUAACUCGGAAAGGUCAACUGAUACUGCGGGGCUAGAGUGCGGAAGGGGCAACUGGAAUUCUCGGUGUAGCGGUGAAAUGCGUAGAUAUCGAGAGGAACACCUGCGGCGAAGGCGGGUUGCUGGGCCGACACUGACGCUGAGGCGCGAAAGCCAGGGGAGCGAACGGG